CUAUUUAUGAGGUUUUGCAUGACAUUUUGAUUCUUUCCUUACAUUUUCUUUAUAGAUAUUCAAGAAUUUUAUGAGGUGACACUACUAAAUUCCCAAAAAAGUUGUGAACAAAAGAUUGAAGAAGCCAAUCAAGUUGCACAGAAAUGGGAUAAGACAUCUAUUCUUGCUUCAUGCCAUGACAGUCUUCAAAAAUCUGCAGAGCUUACAGUUUGGGGUGGACCAAAGGAGAAUGCUUCAUGUAUUGAGCAAAAUAAAGAAAAUCAGUGUUUUGAGAAUGAAACUGAUGAAAAGUCAAGUCAAAACCAAGGCAAAUGCCCAGCCCAGAAUUGUUCAGUGGAAGCCCCUGCUUGGAUGCCUGUACAUCACUGUACUGUAAGUUUGAUUAUUCCAAGAUUUGCCAAAAAGAAGGAGAAAUGUUUUUA
rnacentral:lncRNA from 1 species